CCACGGCUCAGUACACGUGUACCCUUUGUCCUGUCACGUCUUUCCGCCGCUUUCCACUCUUCAAACCAGCGUCAAAACACAGGUUGAACCUUUUCUUCAGGCCUUCAUAAGGAUAUGCAGGGUCUCAUGUCACACAAAACUUACAUUAACAAAUUUCUAUGCCUUUCUCGUUCAUCUGUCUUUUGUUAAACCUGGGACCCAGUCGAGAACUUAAAAGCGUAGAGGAAAAAGAUAUUUCUCCUCGCCCUCAGUAUCCACCACAUUGUGUUCAUCCAUUCUUGUGGUUCACGCCUGUGUGUCUGAAUAAACAGAUGUCCUGCUGCGCCCAGGCCUCGGAACCCCAGCCUCGGCUGCUGGUCCCCAGGGAUGAGAUCCUUCUUGGAUUUGCUCUGCCCCCAAAACAGGAUCCAGGGUGUGCUCUGUCAUACAUGCGUUCCCUACAAGGGUUCUGGCUCCUGGGGAACAGAACUGUGCCCACUGGCAGUGCCGGGAGAGCGUGGAGCCAGCACCGAAGACUUGAGCAACCACCCUUUAGGGCUAAUUCACUGAGCCCUGGGAAAGUCAGACAGACACUCCCCGGCUCAUGCCAGCGGCCACAUCGCUGGGGACGUGCAUCUCCCAUCUGCCAGAGAUGGUAGGCUCUCUACUGCCCAAGCAGCAUGCCGCCCGGUGCGUCCUCAACAGUGUUUACUGAAUGAAGGAAGGAAGGAAGACAGGCUAAAGUGGUACCCUUUCCCCAUGCCUGGCUAAACACAGAAACUCCUCCAAAGUUAACCACCUUCACAGACUGACACAUUUUCUUAACUCAUGACCCACAUUUGAACGACAAGUUCAUUUCUACUGUGCUCUAGCAGCUUAGGUGCUGUGUUAGAUGGGUUCUCCCAGAAGCCGACCCAGAGAGCAGGAUUUGAAUGCAGCCGGGAGUGUUAGGAGCAGGGGAUACAGCUGUGGGAAUCACUGAAAAGGAACCACAUGAGAACAAGCAAAGGCUGCUUAUUCGGAGCCGACUGGAGCAAGGGAGUGGGCCAGCAUCACUUGCACCUGACAGAGACUCCAAGGCAGACGGGAGGAGCGGGGAAGCCUCAGAGUGGAAAGAAGAGAAGGAAGGCUUCAGGGGUUGACAGACUCUCGCUCCUUAACCGAACUUUAGUCAGUCUCCCCUACGCCCUUGGACCUUGUCCUUGGGCCUUGUCAUCAAGGGCAAGAAUCCUGCUAAAAACAGUAAAGCUGCCGUUCAGGAGGCUCAGAGCCCUGGGACCCAUCACAGGAUUGCUCUCCUGCCCCUCAUUUUCUCCACGCCCCACCAGCCUCGGCGCAGUGUUGGUGGCUAGACGACAAGGGGCCCCUGCGCUUCCCUGGAGGGCUGGCCUGCGCCAUCGUUGGGGGCUCCCCCAGCCACUUGCCCUUCUCCUUCAGGAAUCUCAGGGCUUCCAGGGAUCCCUAACACAGCUCCUCCAGGUCCUGCAGUGCACAGGACGGCCCCACAGCAAAGUCAUCUGGCCCCAAAUGUCAGUGGUGCUGAGGUUGGGAAAUCCUGAUCAACUUCGACCAAUACUAGCCGUGACUGUCAUCUUCCUUCUGAAUCCCCGGGGACCUCCCGGCGGGGGCCCAGAACCAGCAUUCAGGCCAGCGCCGCUUGGUUUCUGAGGAGCUUUCCUCAAGUCCCCUCGGUCCUGUCUCACAGCAUCCCUGCGAGGGAGGGCGUAUUCUCC
rnacentral:lncRNA from 1 species